rnacentral:rRNA from 1 species
GAUGAACGCUGGCGGCGUGCCUAAUACAUGCAAGUCGAGCGAACAGACGAGGAGCUUGCUCCUCUUACGUUAGCGGCGGACGGGUGAGUAACACGUGGAUAACCUACCUAUAAGACUGGGAUAACUUCGGGAAACCGGAGCUAAUACCGGAUAAUAUAUUGAACCUCAUGGUUCAUUAGUGAAAGACGGUUUUGCUGUCACUUAUAGAUGGAUCCGCGCCGCAUUAGCUAGUUGGUAAGGUAACGGCUUACCAAGGCAACGAUGCGUAGCCGACCUGAGAGGGUGAUCGGCCACACUGGAACUGAGACACGGUCCAGACUCCUACGGGAGGCAGCAGUAGGGAAUCUUCCGCAAUGGGCGAAAGCCUGACGGAGCAACGCCGCGUGAGUGAUGAAGGUCUUCGGAUCGUAAAACUCUGUUAUUAGGGAAGAACAAAUGUGUAAGUAACUAUGCACGUCUUGACGGUACCUAAUCAGAAAGCCACGGCUAACUACGUG